AGCUGGUUAAACAUGGAGAGAGAUAGGAGGAACAUAUUUUCUUUAGAGCGAAGAGGAAGGAGCUGAGCUCGGCAGUCAGGUUUAAUCCACGAGUGCAGAGGUAUUUAAAGCCGAGACUGGACAUGAGGUCGUGUGGAGAGUGAGGUUAUUUGUGAGGAGCUGAAGGAUGUUUGGAUAAGUCUUUAUUUACAGUCAUGUCAAAUGAUAAAGGGACUUCGAGAGAAGAAAAGGCUGUAAAGACUGAACAAACUGAGUUGAGCAGAGGAGAUAAUUAGUUGCUGGAAAUUGGCCAAGGCUAUUAAUCCUAAAAACAGGGGAUGGUAGUGCGCUGUGUUAUUCAGCUUUGGUCAGGAGAGAAACCAUGUCGUAGCAUCAGCAGAGAGAGAGAGAGAGAGAGAGAGAGAGAGAGAGAGAGAGAAGGUGAAUAAUCCUCUGACAUCCUCAAACAGUCAGUGGCCAGAAAAACAGAAAAGCAGAAAGGUUUAAUUCAUUGAAGUGGAAGCGAAGGAUGCGGGAUGGAUCCGUUUGAGAGUCCUGCAACCCAGCGGCGUAAGGCCAAGCUGAUGUUUGGCCUGAAAAUGAAGAAGAAGAAGAAGAAGAAGAAGGUCAACACAGACCUGGUCCUGGCAAACAAGGGAGCUGUGGACAGUGAAGCAGAAGUGCCGUCAGAAGAGUCUCCCCUGCUGGAAGGAGAAAACACUGAGGAUCAAGCAGGAAGCUCUGCAGUCAGAACCAGAAUAAUACCACACAACAAGAGGUCCAAACUGAAAACUCGCGUCCAGGAGAGUGAAUGGAAACCACAGAGCUUCCAGAUUUCCAUUAACAUCACUGAGGCCAGGCAGCUGGUGGGGGAGAACAUCGACCCCAGUGUGGUGAUCGAGAUCGGUGAUGAGAAGAAACAGACGUCAGUCAAAGAAGGAACCAACGCUCCUUUUUACAAUGAGUAUUUCGUGUUUGACUUCUUCGCCCACAAAGAGGUCUUCUUCGACAAAGUUAUCAAGCUCACGGUGAUGCACUCUAAGAUGCUGCGGAGUUUCUGUAUCGGCUCCUUUAAGCUGGAUGUGUGGACAGUCUACAAACAGCCAGGUCACCAGUUUGUCAAUAAGUGGGCCAUGCUGACCAAUCCUGGUGACAUCAGCACUGGGGUCAAAGGUUAUGUCAAGUGUGACAUCAGCGUCUCAGCAAAAGGAGACUCCGUGCAACCCGGUCCAAAAACGAGUGAUGCUGAAGAGCAGAUAGAUAAGAACCUGCUGAUACCAGAGGGUUUUCCCUCCGAACGACCCUGGGCCCGUUUCUGUGUGAAGGUGUAUCGCGCUGAAGGUCUUCCCCGGAACAACUCCAGCAUCAUGGCCAACGUCACCAAGGCCUUCAUAGGAGAUAACACGGCACUCAUAGACCCAUACGUAGUGGUCAGCUUCUUCAAACAAGUGGGUCGCACAUCCACUCAGAAGUCCACAGCAGACCCGGUGUGGAACGAGCAGAUUGUCUUCACGGAGAUGUUUCCUCCUCUGUGUCAGAGACUGAAGAUCCAGGUCUGGGAUGAGGGAAGCAUGAGUGAUGUUGCCAUAGGAACCCAUUACUUUGACCUGAGACGCAUCUCCAACGAACAGGAUGGUGACAGAGGGUUUUUACCAACCUUCGGUCCCGCUUGGAUCAACAUUUACGGCUCGGCCCGAAACUUUUCAUUAGGCGACGACACUGUGGAGCUGAACGAGGGCAUCGGAGAGGGCGUGUCAUACAGGGGGCGGGUCUACAUGGAGCUGGCAGUGGAGAUCCUAUCAGGAGGGACGGGUUCGGAGUCCAAACUCAUUCGAAUGAUCAAGCCCGCGAAGGACACUAAAGCAGGAAAGGCCGGAGGGAAGGAUGGGAAGACUGUUGCAGGAGGAGGAGCGGGAGGAGCAGCAGGAGGAGCCGCUGAUGACGACAAAGGGAAAGCUUUGGCUGCAGAGGUCCUGCCUGUGGAAUCUCCCUCUGUGCUGGAUGCCGACAAGGAGACCUUCCUGCUGUUUGGUGUUUUGUUUGAAGCCGCCGUGAUUGACAGAAAGAUUGGAGACAAACCAAUCAGCUUCGAGUUCUCCCUGGGUAACUACGGUAACACCUUAGAGCCGACGGGCCAGCCCAGCCACAGCGCCAGUCCUGCUGUCCCUCGGAGGAGAAGAGCACUGGACGUCCCAGAAAGCAGUGACAUCCUCGGCUCCUCCCCUCUCAGCUCCCCCCCGAACUCCCCGUCUUCCCCCCUCCUACCCAGAGACCUUCAGGACACUGCCUCCAAGUCCACCACCUGUCCUGAAAAACCGCUCAUCGUCGAAGGAAACAGGCACUACAUGCAUCUGCCCCUGGAGAAGCAGAAGCCGUGUAUUAAUGUGCUGAGUUACUGGGAGGACAGAGCUUACAGACUCUACAACUCGAAUAUGCUGGAGAGCAUAGCUGUUCUGUUUGAAGAGGGCGUGGCCAUUGCAGCAGAGCUACACAGGAAGUCAGAUCCUGGGGCGGAGAAUAUGCUCAAAACCAUCCUUAAAGAAUUCUGUAUGGAUGCCAGGAGUUUCAUAGCAGCAGCAGAGGCCAAGCUGAAGGCGGAGCUAAAGUCCAGUUACCUGACACAGCUGGACAAGAAACGCCUCACCAUGUGUACACAGGAGCUGGAUGGUAUGAUAGAAGAGGCCCAGUCUUUGGGAGAAAGGAAGAGAAAAGCUGGUGGAGUGAAAGAAAUGCUGCUGGACGCAACAAAACUCACACAAAGACUACGCUUUCUUGUGCAGGAGCCCCAGCACACAGUACCUGACGUGUUUGUGUGGUUGCUAAGCAAUAACAAGCGUGUUGCGUACGCCCGGGUCCGAGCCAGAGACCUGCUGUUCUCCAGCAGCCAGGAGGCCCGAGGGAUCCACUGCGGCAAGAUAAUAACACUGUUCCUGAAGCCUCCAGGGAAGCGUGUUGCCGGCUUGUCAGUCCAAGCAAAGCUGGAUGUGUAUCUGUGGUUUGGAACCUGUUCAGACUCCCGCCACAUGCUGGACGACCUGCCUGCAGGAUUCACUCCGACCAGAGGGGGCGCUGAUUCCAACAGCCCUCCCACACACCUGCUCUGCACAGAGCAGCAUCGGUUCCAGCUGAGGUGCCACAUGUAUCAGGCUCGUGGUCUGAUCGCUGCCGACAGCUCCGGCCUGUCCGACCCUUUCGCUCGCGUCACCUACCUGUCACACAGCCAAACCACCAAUAUUAUCAGUCAGACUCUCAGUCCUACAUGGAACCAGUGUUUGCCGAUGGGUCGUCUGCUGCUGAGUGGAGAUCUGCAGUACAUCCAGCAGGAGCCGCCACGCAUCCUCAUCGAGGUGUACGACGACGACGCACUGGGCAAGGCAGAGUACCUGGGAGCCACAGUAGCAGUGCCUGAGGUUCGGUUGUCCUCUGACAGCUACUCGCCUCCAACACUGCAAUACAGCCCCCUGCACUGCGGCAGCCAGCCAGGAGGAGACCUGCUGGCUGCAUUUGAACUGCUGCAGAUCCCAGAGUCUGGAGAGCAGAAUCUGCCGCCGCUGGAGGAAGAGGAAGGAGGCAUCUACACGGUUCCUGCCAACAUCAGACCCGUUCUCAGCACCUACAGGCUGGAGGUUUUAUUCUGGGGCCUGAGGGAGCUGAAGAAGGUUCAGCUCCUGUCUGUCGAUCGCCCACAGGUCUUUAUUGAGUGUGCAGGUAAAACUUUGCGUUCCUCCGUCAUUCAGAAGUACAAGUCCAACCCAAACUUCAGUACGCUGGUUGAUGCCAUAGAGCUGGAGUUACCAGAGAACGAACACCUCCACCCUCCUCUCAGUAUCACUGUCGUGGACUGGCGGGCCUUCGGUCGCAGCACGCUGGUCGGGAACCACAUCAUCAACAACCUCAAGGCCUUCAAAUACACUCCGCCUCCGGCCCUGCCUGCUCCCGUACAGACACACCCACCACCCAAAGUCACAUACACCGCUGAACCUGCACCGACGCCAGAGCCGCAGAGCGCUGAGGGACAGCCACAGCAUGCUGGAGAGACCAGCUCCACUGUGGCACUAACAAAUCAGGAUUUCCUUAUCACUAUUGAUGAUGAAGCCCCGCCUCCAGCCCCGCCCACUCCUAAGCAAGAACCCAGGAAGAAAAAGGAGAGCGGCAUGAGGAGCACCCACCGAUCCACCAAGCGGAGGAGGCGGACCAUCGCUGACGAAUCGGCAGAGUGUGUUAUCGACUGGUGGUCCAAAUACUACGCGUCUGUAGAGAAGCAGGUCAAACAGAGGGACGGCUCCCCGUUCCCCCAGGUCUUUGAAAAAGCUUCGCCGUUCCACAGUUUGCUCAGCGAUGGAAUAGACUCUCUGGUCAGCUCCCACUCGGACGGAGACAAGAAGAAAAAGCAGAAAGGAAAAGGAACUCUGGAGCCGAAUGUUGGUCUGGCCACUAAACUAGCCACACUCAAGCUGUACAACAGGGAGCUGGAGGCGGAGUUCGGGCCGUUCGAUGACUGGGUGAACACCUACGAGCUGUUUAGAGGGAAAGCCGGUGAGGAAGAUGGGCCGAGUGAUGAGAGGUUUGUCGGCAAAUUUAAGGGGAGAUUCUGCCUGUACAAGCUUACCGAGGACGAGGCAGAGGACUGGGAUGAAACCGCAGACACGGGACACUUCAAAGUCAGCAGAGGAAUCCCUCCCAACGGCCCGGUCCAAGUCCUCAUACGGGUUUACAUAGUCUCUGCGUCCAACCUGCACCCAGCUGACUCGGAUGGGAAGGCGGACCCCUACAUUGUGGUUCGCCUCGGCAAAAAUGAAAUCAAAGACAGAGACAACUACAUUCCUAAACAGCUCAAUCCCGUGUUUGGAAGGUCUUUUGAGAUGCAGGCGACCUUCCCUCAGGAGUCUCUGCUGUCAGUGCUGAUCUACGACUACGACCUGGUGGGAGGGGACGACCUGAUCGGAGAGACUCGCAUUGACCUGGAGAACCGGUUCUACAGCCGACACAGAGCCACCUGCGGACUCCCCACCGAGUACAGUCUUGAUGGUUAUAAUGCCUGGAGAGACUGUCUGAAGCCGUCGGAGCUGUUGUCUAAGCUUUGCAGAGAAAACGGAUUGGACGGUCCUCAUUUCAGACCAGGACGCAUCACUGUGGCAGAAAAAGUCUUCACUGGCAAAACACUCUUCAUGCAUGAAGACCAGCCGGUGGAGUCCUAUGAGCACUUGUCUCUGAAGAUCCUGCACCGCUGGGCAGAGAUGCCAGAUGUGGGAUGUAAGCUGGUACCAGAACACAUCGAGACCAGAACUCUGUUCCACAAGGCCCGGCCCGGCAUGGACCAGGGUCAGGUACAGAUGUGGGUUGACUUGUUUCCCAUGGAUUUGCCUCAUCCUGGACCUUCAGUGGACAUUUCACCUCGGAAACCAAAAGGGUACGAGCUGCGAAUCAUCAUCUGGAACACAGAGGAUGUGAUUCUGGAGGACAGUAACUUCCUGACUGGUCAACAGUCCAGUGAUAUCUAUGUCAAGGGCUGGUUGAAAGGUUUAGAGGACGACCGACAAGAGACUGAUGUUCACUACAACUCUCUGACUGGAGAAGGAAACUUCAACUGGCGCUUUGUCUUCCCCUUCAGCUACCUGCCUGCUGAAAAGGUGAUAGUGGUGAGAAAAAGAGAGAACAUUUUCUCUCUGGAUAAAACAGAGCAGAAGCUUCCUGCCAUCCUUAUUCUGCAGGUCUGGGACUUUGAGACACUGUCCUCUGAUGACUUCCUAGGCACUGUGGAGUUGGACCUCCAUGGUUUCACUCGUGGGGCAAAGACGGCCAAGUCCUGUAAGGCAGACAUGUUGACGGAUGGGACAGAGAAAAUCUCCAUAUUCCAACAGAAGAGAGCGAGAGGCUGGUGGCCCUUCAGCAAAUCUGGAGAGCUGACUGGGAAGGUGGAGGCGGAGUUUCACCUUGUAACUGCUGAGGAGGCGGAGAAAAAUCCUGUCGGCAAAGCCCGCAAGGAGCCGGAGCCACUUCCAAAACCAAAUCGUCCAGACACAUCCUUCUCCUGGUUCGUCAACCCAUUCAAGUGUUUCUUCCACCUAGUGUGGAGAAGCUACAAGAAGUACAUCAUCAUCGCCCUGCUCCUGCUCAUCACACUGCUGUUCCUCGCCCUGCUCUUCUACACACUGCCAGGAGCCAUCUCUAACAAGAUAGUGGAAGGAUAAAUCUUUUACAUAACAUGAGAUGCGUGCUCAAACGGGCGAAUUGGAGAUUUUCCCCUGAUGUCGUCAAGAAGGGCGAUGCCACCUCCCCCCGGCUGACACUCCCCGAGCUAGGUGUGUGUUCCGCCCACUGAGUCCGUGUUGCAGACGGUAUCGUUACUUCCCUCGCGAACACUGGCUUUCGGUAGAACAAUGUCGAAGGUAUGAGCGAAAAACAGUAGUUGCUUUGUUGUUGGCUGCACAAACCAACACAGAAGUCUUUUUUUAACACCUACACCCGAGGAUCUGAAGACCCAGUGGAUUCAUUUUAUUUUUGAUGGAAAUGUACCCGCUCCAACUCUGAAAGUGUUGUACGUGUGUGCUAACCAUUUCACCUCGGACUGCUUUCUCAACGAGGGCCAGUACAACGCAGGAUUUGCUACAAGUCUCAAGAUAAAGCUUGAAUCAGUACCAACUGUCCGUGACCCAACUUUGAACUUGGGAGCUCACAUCAAGUGCAUCUAUACAGCUUCCUGCAACAAGGGAUGUUGCAUGCCAGACUGACCCACUGUAGGCCCACAGUUAUCCUUGAAGACUCUUCAGCCUCACAUCAGAAGUACAGGUCUGUAGCCAUCGGAAGUGCAUCCAGUCACUUAUCAGUCUUGGAAUAAUGUGCAGACUCUACCUGGCUGCCACGUACUACAAUGAAAAUGCUGACCGACCAAACAAAAGAAGGAGAACCACUGUUCAAGGUCCAAUUUCCAAAGGGAAUGUGGUGGACCUCAGAUUUGAAAAAGUCUUUGUUGACCUGGGAUCAUACACAGAAGCUGCUUUGGCCAUCCCCAUCCCAGAGGACCUCACUGCACAGUUGGAGCGGCCUGAGAAGGAGGAGGUCAUAUCCAGCUCUGUGUCCCGGUUCCAUCAUGGGGCAGUCUAAAACCCACGUACUGGGGCAUGUGGCGUCAGGAAACUCGGCAUGGAUGCGCAGGACCAGGCAGGCUGGAAUGACGACCCAGAUUCUGCGACAAAGGAAGCCCCAGCACCAGCUCACAAAGCUCCGAUAGACUAGAUACCUGUACUGACUAAAACAACUGGACGGGGCAUUUAGUCUUGCAAACAUAUAUCUAUGAUGUGUCUCACAAUUUUUUUUUUAUGGAUCCAGUCAAUCCUACAGUUUUUUUAUUAUCACUGAUUAUAAGUGCCUCAUUUGAUGUAAAUAAAUGCUUGAUUGUUACUAAAGAAAUGACUCCUCUGAAUUCAUAUAUUAUAUGCACACUAUCUGCUGAUAGAAGAACUUUACAAAUCAAAGAGCAGCUAAACUAAUUUAUUUGAGGGUUUGUUACUCUAUUUGUGGUCUGUUAUUAUCAUUGUAAAAUUAUGUGCACUGAAGUAAAACAAGACUGCCUAACAUAUUUUACAAAGAAGCAAAACGUACUGGUGUAUUCCUCUCAACCAUAAAGUACCGUAGUCAGCGCAGUACAUGUUGCAGGGGAGAACACAUUGAGGCAGAGCGGCUCCAACCCAGGACGGUCUACCAUACAUGGUAAAUCUUCCUCGAUCUCCCAUAGCCAUCUGGUAACCUACAGUGAAUUGCAAAUGGUAAAUGCUAUGGUUUAUUAUUAAUGUAAUCAAAACAAAUUAGUGAUUAGUUUGUCCAGUGA